CGUUGAAACAACGGUUCCCGUGCGAUCACCGGAGAUAAGCAACGUCGAGCCAGGUCAAUAAUUAGAUGAGUGACCGUUUGGGAAUACGAGGUGCUGUAA